rfam:Rattus norvegicus chromosome 5, whole genome shotgun sequence.
GGGGAUUUAGCUCAGUGGUAGAGCGCUUGCCUAGGAAGCGCAAGGCCCUGGGUUCGGUCCCCAGUUCCA